AGUUGGCCGGUGCUUCUUCUGUACCUACCGUCACUUGCGCUUCGUCGGUACUGAAAGAGGUUUACAACCGAAGGCCGUCAUCCCUCACGCGGCGUUGCUGGAUCAGGCUUCCGCCCAUUGUCCAAUAUUCCCC
rnacentral:rRNA from 1 species